rnacentral:rRNA from 1 species
AACGAACGCUGGCGGCGUGCUUAACACAUGCAAGUCGAACGCGAAAGUUUUCUUCGGAAGACGAGUAGAGUGGCGCACGGGCGAGUAACGCGUAAGUAAUCUGCCCUGGUAUCUGGGAUAACCCACCGAAAGGUGUGCUAAUACCGGAUACGCUGAGCAAUCAGGAAAGGUGGCCUCUUCAUGAAAGCUACUGUACCAGGAGGAGCUUGCGUACCAUUAGCUAGUUGGUAGGGUAAUGGCCUACCAAGGCAACGAUGGUUAGCGGGUCUGAGAGGAUGAUCCGCCACACUGGAACUGAAACACGGACCAGACUCCUACGGGAGGCAGCAGUGGGGAAUAUUGGACAAUGGGCGAAAGCCUGAUCCAGCCAUGCCGCGUGUGUGAAGAAGGUCUUCGGAUUGUAAAGCACUUUAAGUUGGGAGGAAGGGCAGUAAGUUAAUACCUUGCUGUUUGACGUUACAACAGAAUAAGCACCGGCUAACUUCGUGCCAGCAGCCGCGGUAAU